AGGACAAACGCUGGCGGCGUACCUAAGACAUGCAAGUCGAACGGGGGGUGGACCCUUCGGGGACCAUCUCGAGUGGCGAACGGGUGAGUAACACGUAGGAACCUGACGUUUGGUGGGGGAUAACGCUGGGAAACCGGCGCUAAUACCGCAUACGGUCCCUGGAAACGGGGAGCAAAGCAGCAAUGCGCCAGAUGAGGGGCCUGUGGCCGAUUAGCUAGUUGGUGAGGUAAAGGCCCACCAAGGCGACGAUCGGUAGCUGGUCUGAGAGGAUGGUCAGCCACACUGGGACUGAGACACGGCCCAGACUCCUACGGGAGGCAGCAGUUAGGAAAUUUUCGCAAUGGGGGAAACCCUGACGGAGUAACGCCGCGUGGAGGAUGACGGCUUUCGGGUUGUAAACUCCUUUUCUGUGGGAAGAGUAGAAGACGGUACCGCAGGAAGAAGCCUCGGCUAACUACGCGCCAGCAGCCGC
rnacentral:rRNA from 1 species